rnacentral:rRNA from 1 species
AGUGAACGCUGGCGGUAGGCCUAACACAUGCAAGUCGAACGGCAGCACAGUAAGAGCUUGCUCUUACGGGUGGCGAGUGGCGGACGGGUGAGGAAUACAUCGGAAUCUACUUUUUCGUGGGGGAUAACGUAGGGAAACUUACGCUAAUACCGCAUACGACCUACGGGUGAAAGCAGGGGAUCUUCGUACCUUGCGCGAUUGAAUGAGCCGAUGUCGGAUUAGCUAGUUGGCGGGGUAAAGGCCCACCAAGGCGACGAUCCGUAGCUGGUCUGAGAGGAUGAUCAGCCACACUGGAACUGAGACACGGUCCAGACUCCUACGGGAGGCAGCAGUGGGGAAUAUUGGACAAUGGGCGCAAGCCUGAUCCAGCCAUACCGCGUGGGUGAAGAAGGCCUUCGGGUUGUAAAGCCCUUUUGUUGGGAAAGAAAAGCAGCAGGUUAAUACCCCGCUGUUCUGGCGGUACCCAAAGAAUAAGCACCGGCUAACUUCGUG